UCGCUGACGAGUGGCGGACGGGUGAGUAAUGUCUGGGAAACUGCCUGAUGGAGGGGGAUAACUACUGGAAACGGUGGCUAAUACCGCAUAACGUCGCAAGACCAAAGAGGGGGACCUUCGGGCCUCUUGCCAUCAGAUGUGCCCAGAUGGGAUUAGCUAGUUGGUGAGGUAACGGCUCACCAAGGCGACGAUCCCUAGCUGGUCUGAGAGGAUGACCAGCCACACUGGAACUGAGACACGGUCCAGACUCCUACGGGAGGCAGCAGUGGGGAAUAUUGCACAAUGGGCGCAAGCCUGAUGCAGCCAUGCCGCGUGUAUGAAGAAGGCCUUCGGGUUGUAAAGUACUUUCAGCGGGGAGG
rnacentral:rRNA from 1 species